rnacentral:rRNA from 1 species
UACGUAGGUGGCGAGCGUUGUCCGGAUUUACUGGGCGUAAAGAGCGCGCAGGCGGUCGUUCAAGUCGCGUGUGAAAGCCCCCGGCUCAACUGGGGAGGGUCACGCGAUACUGAUCGACUCGAAGGCAGGAGAGGGUAGUGGAAUUCCCGGUGUAGUGGUGAAAUGCGUAGAUAUCGGGAGGAACACCAGUGGCGAAGGCGACUUCCUGGCCUGUUCUUGACGCUGAGGCGCGAAAGCUAGGGGAGCAAACGGG